GCUCUUAUGAAGUUAGCGGCGGACGGCGUGAGUAACACGUGGGUAACCUGCCCAUAAGACUGGGAUAACUCCGGGAAACCGGGGCUAAUACCGGAUAACAUUUUGAACCGCAUGGUUCGAAAUUGAAAGGCGGCUUCGGCUGUCACUUAUGGAUGGACCCGCGUCGCAUUAGCUAGUUGGUGAGGUAACGGCUCACCAAGGCAACGAUGCGUAGCCGACCUGAGAGGGUGAUCGGCCACACUGGGACUGAGACACGGCCCAGACUCCUACGGGAGGCAGCAGUAGGGAAUCUUCCGCAAUGGACGAAAGUCUGACGGAGCAACGCCGCGUGAGUGAUGAAGGCUUUCGGGUCGUAAAACUCUGUUGUUAGGGAAGAACAAGUGCUAGUUGAAUAAGCUGGCACCUUGACGGUACCUAACCAGAAAGCCACGGCUAACUACGUGCCAGCAGCCGCGGUAAUACGUAGGUGGCAAGCGUUAUCCGGAAUUAUUGGGCGUAAAGCGCGCGCAGGUGGUUUCUUAAGUCUGAUGUGAAAGCCCACGGCUCAACCGUGGAGGGUCAUUGGAAACUGGGAGACUUGAGUGCAGAAGAGGAAAGUGGAAUUCCAUGUGUAGCGGUGAAAUGCGUAGAGAUAUGGAGGAACACCAGUG
rnacentral:rRNA from 1 species